UGUGCUUGUGCAAGUGUGUGUGUGUGUGCGUUGUAAUGAAUGCUCCUCCCUCGUUCCCUUUGCUAGGAAUGAACAGUCUGUCAGCAGCCAGGAAGAGAGAAGCAGCUUGUAGGGAAUAAUGUGUUGCUGUGUGCUCUAAUGCUGUCUACCUGUCUUCAGCUACAAGUACAGGCAAAACUUUCCUGAUAACUUGCCUGCUGUUUUGCAGCCCUUUCUGCUAUAGGGGCUGCUGGCAUACUCCAUAAGUCUGUCUGGAGCAAGAUGCAACAUUGGGCAGCAUGGUAUCACCAGGUGGACCUCAUAUUUGGAUCAAGAUGACCCCAGUUAUCUUUCUGAUGAUUACUUCUUCACUGCUGAACUCCCCAUGCCAAGGUCUUCCCAACAACAAUGAUGCAAUCAAGAUUUUCAUGAACAUCCAGCAGAUGCAUGCCUCAUACUGUGCUUUCCAUCAGCCUCUAGAAAGUAGCAGGUGAAUCACUUGACCCUUGUGGUAUGUGGUCAAAUUCAAAGCAUCCCAAAGGACAGAUAAAAGCCAAAUUCUCUUGAUCUUCCGGGUGUAUUGGGAUCUGAUGGUAGUAAUUUCUUAAGUCCAGAUCACUGAACCAUCUGCUGCCCACCAGGCAGUUCAAGGCAUCUUCUAUCCAGGGGGUAGUGUACUAUCAAGGAAUGCUUUUCUUGUUCCAAAUACUGUAGUCAACAAAUAUCCAUAAAAACCCACUGUUCUUUCUACAUCAUUAAGAGAAGCAUAAGGAUUUCUAAACAGCUUUUCCCCGGGUAACAUUCUCCCGGAGUGCUCUCUGAAAGGACAAUCUUCUUUUAAACUUAUGCAAUGCAAUUCUAUACCAGGCUCUUUGGGUCGGCUUGUGCAAAAAUAAAAAUAAAAAGAGUGUGAGGUCCUCCCAAAAAUCCAUACCAGAGUUUAUCCAAGCAUGCGGUCUGCCAGGUCAGGAAAGGAAGGGAGGAGUGAUUUCCCCCCAAAUCACACCAGGCCACAUGCUAUCAACAUGGGGUACCUCCACCAACACAAAAACCUUGUCUUCAUGUUGAUGAGGAAGAGAGUCUCUUACCCACAACCUUGAUCCAGUGUUUAUGGAGGUCUAUGCAUUACUGAUUUACCCAAAAAAAUAAA